GACGAACGCUGGCGGCGCGCUUAAUACAUGCAAGUCGAGCGAGAACCAGGGCUUCGGCUCUGGGGACAGCGGCGAACGGGUGAGUAACACGUGGGUAAUCAACCCCCGACACCGGGAUAGCCCAGGGAAACUUGGAUUAAUACCGGAUGCCCCGUCUGGCCUUCGGGCCGGCCGGAAAAGGGUAGCUUCGGCCUCUGGUCGGGGACGAGCCCGCGGCGGAUUAGCUUGCUGGUGAGGUAAAGGCUCACCAAGGCGACGAUCCGUAGCUGGUCUGGGAGGACGAUCGGCCACACUGGGACUGAGACACGGCCCAGACUCCUACGGGAGGCAGCAGUAGGGAAUCUUGCGCAAUGGGCGAAAGCCUGACGCAGCGACGCCGCGUGAGGGAAGAAGGCCUUCGGGUUGUAAACCUCUUUCAGGAGGGACGAAGCCACUCGGGUUAAUAGCCUAGAGGGUGACGGUACCUCCAGAAGAAGCCCCGGCUAACUACGUGCCAGCAGCCGCCGUAA
rnacentral:rRNA from 1 species